ACAUGCAGUCGAACGAUGAUGCCCACUUGUGGGUGGAUUAGUGGCGAACGGGUGAGUAACACGUGAGUAACCUGCCCUUGACUCUGGGAUAAGCCUGGGAAACUGGGUCUAAUACUGGAUAUGACCUUCUGGCGCAUGCCAUGUUGGUGGAAAGCUUUUGUGGUUUUGGAUGGACUCGCGGCCUAUCAGCUUGUUGGUGGGGUAAUGGCUUACCAAGGCGACGACGGGUAGCCGGCCUGAGAGGGUGACCGGUCACACUGGGACUGAGACACGGCCCAGACUCCUACGGGAGGCAGCAGUGGGGAAUAUUGCACAAUGGGCGCAAGCCUGAUGCAGCGACGCCGCGUGAGGGAUGAAGGCCUUCGGGUUGUAAACCUCUUUCAGUAGGGAAGAAGUUGGCCUUUUGGGGUUGGUGACGGUACCUGCAGAAGAAGCGCCGGCUAACUACGUGCCAGCAGCCGCGGUAAUACGUAGGGCGCAAGCGUUAUCCGGAAUUAUUGGGCGUAAAGAGCUCGUAGGCGGUUUGUCGCGUCUGCCGUGAAAGUCCGGGGCUUAACUCCGGAUCUGCGGUGGGUACGGGCAGACUAGAGUGCAGUAGGGGAGACUGGAAUUCCUGGUGUAGCGGUGAAAUGCGCAGAUAUCAGGAGGAACACCGAUGGCGAAGGCAGGUCUCUGGGCUGUAACUGACGCUGAGGAGCGAAAGCAUGGGGAGCGAACAGGAUUARWUACCCUGGUAGUCCAUGCCGUAAACGUUGGG
rnacentral:rRNA from 1 species